rnacentral:rRNA from 1 species
UGGGGAAUAUUGCACAAUGGGCGCAAGCCUGAUGCAGCCAUGCCGCGUGUGUGAAGAAGGCCUUCGGGUUGUAAAGCACUUUCAGCGAGGAGGAAGGUGGUGAGCUUAAUACGCUCAUCAAUUGACGUUACUCGCAGAAGAAGCACCGGCUAACUCCGUGCCAGCAGCCGCGGUAAUACGGAGGGUGCAAGCGUUAAUCGGAAUUACUGGGCGUAAAGCGCACGCAGGCGGUUUGUUAAGUCAGAUGUGAAAUCCCCGGGCUCAACCUGGGAACUGCAUUUGAAACUGGCAAGCUAGAGUCUCGUAGAGGGGGGUAGAAUUCCAGGUGUAGCGGUGAAAUGCGUAGAGAUCUGGAGGAAUACCGGUGGCGAAGGCGGCCCCCUGGACGAAGACUGACGCUCAGGUGCGAAAGCGUGGGGCAGCAAACAGGAUUAGAUACCCUGGUAGUCCACGCUGUAAACGAUGUCGAUUUUGGAGGUUGUGCCCUUGAGGCGUGGCUUCCGGAGCUAACGCGUUAAAUCGGCCGCCUGGGGAGUACGCC